rnacentral:lncRNA from 1 species
AGAUGUGGUCUUGCUAUGUUGCCCGGGCUGAGUGCAGUGACUAUUCACAGGCCGGAUCUAGUGCACUGCAGUCUUGAACUCCUGGCUUACAGUCCUGCUGGUUCUGAGAGGCAGGGGAAGAAACGGCCACCAUGCUCUGCAGCUAGGUCUCAGCAUGAGGACCAAGAACCCUGGUGUUCCUCCACUCAUCGGAGCCGUAUCAUUUUGGUGCAUUGGCCAGGAAAGGAAAUUCAAUCAUGAGACUGAUGGGUAACAGACCAUCUUCAACAUGCACUUCUCUUGAGUGUAUUUUGAAGCACUAGGACUCUUUCGACCUUGAAACUUUGAAGAAAAAGUGGCUUAUUUUCUUUUGCAGUCAUAUCAGGCAGGCCCAGGGAAAACAGUACCCCAAAAUUUAAAAAGUAACUUUCAGGGAAGUCAUCUGAGGGUCCCCCUUAUUUGGGGCCCCUUCAAGUUCCCUUCUCAUUGCAGGACCUUUGGCAAGUAAAGGGAGACUUAGGCUGGUUUUCUGAUGACCUUAAUAAGUAUAUGGAAGCUUUCCAAUAUUUAACUCAGGUAUGUAACCUCUCAUGAAGGGAUGUUAUGUUGCUGCUAAGGCAAACCCUUACUGUAGGUAAAAUAAGCAGCUCUGCAAGCAGAAGAAAAUUUUGGAGAUAAGUAAUGUCUCCUAUAGAAGGCCAAAAGGGAAAAGAAAAAAAUAGGGAAGGCAAAGGGGAAACACCAUUCCCAAUAGGAAAAGAGGCAAUACCUCCUGACAACCCUAAUUGGAACUCCUUUCUGUGGUGUUUUUCCUUGUUUUGCAGUUUAAAAUGGCUUCUCUUUUAUAAUGUUCUUCCAACAUGGAAAAGGUUAAUUUUCCAAACCUUAAAAUGUUUGGCAUAGAGUUGAGCUAGGGGGAAGGAAACCCAGCCCAGAAGCCUGAUAUGCUGGCAAAAGGGUAAAAAUUUCUUACCAGUCAGGCUUUUGGCUUCUCUCUUCCUGUGGAAACCGGCAAAAGGGAUAAUAAAGAUCAUUGUUUAUGUUUUCUUUAAAUUUAUAGUUAAUGAAAAAGGAUUUGUGAGGUUGGUCUUAAGCUGUAAACAAUCUGCUCUUCUUUGUAUGUCUUUCUGUGUGGUUCUGUUAAAGAAAAGGUAUCUUAGGUCAGGAUGCAGGCCCAGAAACCCAUAAGCCUGCUGUUCAAACCAGCCCAGCAAAGUAUCCAGUGGCAAACUUGGCUACAGGCCUCCAUCUUGUUUCAUGUCAUGGGAACAUAAUCUGUAACCAUGUGGCAAUACUUUGUUUUUGUCUCCGCCAUUUUACAAUGGUGGCUGUCUUCUUGUGCUAAAUCAGAUAAGCCAGUUUGUCAGUCUGGGCUGUGUCAGCUGAUCCAUCAAGGGCAGGGUUUACAAAACAUCUUAAGCACUGAUCAUAACAGCCGUUUAGGGAGGGUCAAAAUCUUGUAGCCUCCAAUUGCAUGGCUCUUGGGCCAUGGUUUCUAAUCCUGUAGCUAGUUUCUUGGUCUGGUCCCCAGGCAAAAGGGAAGUAUAUCUUGAGAAGCAGCUGCUAUCUUCUUUGUUUUAGACUAUAAACUGUAAACCAAGCUCCUCCCCAACUUGAUUCAGCCUAUGCCCGGGGAUGGGCAAGGACAGUUUGGGGACUGGAAACAAAAUGGAGUUGUUUGGGUGAGAUCUCUUCCACUGUCUCAGUCACAAUUUUGCAGUGACAGUUUCAAAAGCUGCCUGUCCGGGUGGAUCACGAGGUCAGGAGUUCAAGACCAGCCUAGUCAACAUGACGAAACCCUGUCUCUACUAAAAAAACAAAAAUUAGCCAGGCGUGGUGGCAUGCACCUGUAGUCCUGGCUACUCAGGAAGCUGAGGCAGAGGAAUUGCUUGAACCCAGGAGGCAGAGGUUGCAGUGAGCCAAGAUCAUGCUACUGCACUCCAGCCUGGGUGACAGAGCAAGACUCUGUCUCAGCAAAAAAAAAAAAAAAAAAAAAAAGCUGCCUGUCACUCCUUUAAAAAUACCUUUUACACUCCUGGUUAAGUCAUAACCUAAUUAAAGCUCUUUAGUUUUACCUGUGAGGUUACUUAUUGUAAAGUUCAAAAGCCAAAAAUCUUAACUGCUUGGCAUGGCUAAGGUCAAGUAACAAAGGAUUUAGAAGAAUUUUCUUAAAGAGUGCUCAGCUUAAUUAAAAGUGGAAAAUCAAGUUAUAGGUAUAUUAAAAGGCCUUUAUGUUUUUUCUUUUCUUGAAUCUUGUUUUUCUGGAAAAAGGCUCAUCUCAGCCGACUGAAUUAUUUUUCUCCAUUUUUUGUCUUACUACUCUUAAUGCAUGUAUAAAAGGCCCUAAGAUAACUUCUGGUAGCAUGGGACUCCUCAGGAAACACAGAGGAGGCGCCACAGACCCCGUUUUGGGAAAAAACCCUCUGUUUUCCUCAUGAAACCCCAGGAAUUAAAAGCAAAUAAUUCCCUCUCAAAAUCAAAGGCUCUGUUCUGUUUUGCAUUGUGUUAUCUGAUGGUUUUGAGUUUUGGGGGUAUCAGAAAUUACUUCGCAUUUUUACAAGAAAGCUUUGGUGUGUAAUAAUCAAGUAGAAAAUACACUGUAAGGGAUGGCUAAUAGUAGUUAUAAAUCAGGGAUGCUCUUGGCCACCUGGAAGAUAAGGAAACAUCCUCACCCUGCACUGGGAGAUGAGACUCCCAUCAGGGAUGGGCUAAUUACAAAAUAAGCCAAUUGGCUUUGGGCUGCCUUGCAAUGCAAUGCAUGGUAGAAGCACUACACCGUCCUCUCCCAUAGUAUCUAUAUGGUCUUUUCAUAAAUUAAGCAUUAAAAUAAAAGCAUAGCAAGGAGGUCUUAAGACACUAAUCUGCCCCUUAGUAAAAGGGUUAUAAAAGGUUUGUAAAGAUUUCACCUUGGCCGGGUGCGGUGGCUCACACCUGUAACCCCAGCACUUUGGGAGGCCGAGGCGGGCAGAUCACCUGAGGUCGGGAGUUCGAGACCAGGCUGACAAACAUGGAGAAGCCCCGUUUCUACUAAAAAUACAAAAUUAGCCAGGGGUGGUGGCACAUGCCUGUAAUCCCAGCUACUUGGGAGGCUGAGGCAGGAGAAUCGCUUGAACCUGGGAGGCGGAGGUUGCAGUGAGCUGAGAUCAUGCCCUUGCACUCUAGCCUGUGCAACAAGAAUGAAACUCCAUCUCAAAAAAAAAAGAAAAAAAAAGAUUUCACCUCAUGGUCAAAUUGGUUAGGAUUUGAUGGAAUAAUCUAUAAGGUUUCGUGUAAACAAAUUGGGGUUAACAUUAAUAAACUAAUGCAAGGGUAAAAUUUUGCUUUGAACAAGAUUUUCAUUUCAUAAUAAAGGCUAAUGAAAGGAUUUUGCCUUUUGAGUCAUCAUUUUGGCAAAAUAAUUUAUGGCAAUCUGGAAAUUGUCCUUCCUGAUACCUAACUUUUUGAAUGGUUUAGAGGGGCCCUGAAACAUUCAGAAAAGAGGUAAACAGG